rnacentral:rRNA from 1 species
GACGUAGGGCGCGAGCGUUGUCCGGAUUAUUGGGCGUAAAGAGCUCGUAGGCGGCUUGUUGCGUCGCUGUGAAAUCCCACGGCUUAACUGUGGGCUUGCAGCCGAUACGGGCGGGCUAGAGUUCGGUAGGGGGAGACUGGAAUUCCGUGGUGUAGCGGUGAAAUGCGCAGAUAUCAGGAGGAACACCGGCGGCGAAGGCGGCCCUCUGGAUCGUUGCUGACGCUGAUACGCGAAAGCGUGGGGAGCAAACAGG